UGCAAAUGAUGUAAAAAUAUCUGUUACCUGGAAUCUGGUGAUGACAUUUUAAACCACCAAGAUCGCUGAUGCA
ensembl:snoRNA SNORD24 Small nucleolar RNA SNORD24